rnacentral:rRNA from 1 species
AUUGAACGCUGGCGGCAGGCCUAACACAUGCAAGUCGAGCGGUAGCACAAGAGAGCUUGCUCUCUGGGUGACGAGCGGCGGACGGGUGAGUAAUGUCUGGGAAACUGCCUGAUGGAGGGGGAUAACUACUGGAAACGGUAGCUAAUACCGCAUGACGUCUUCGGACCAAAGUGGGGGACCUUCGGGCCUCACGCCAUCAGAUGUGCCCAGAUGGGAUUAGCUAGUAGGUGGGGUAAUGGCUCACCUAGGCGACGAUCUCUAGCUGGUCUGAGAGGAUGACCAGCCACACUGGAACUGAGACACGGUCCAGACUCCUACGGGAGGCAGCAGUGGGGAAUAUUGCACAAUGGGCGCAAGCCUGAUGCAGCCAUGCCGCGUGUAUGAAGAAGGCCUUCGGGUUGUAAAGUACUUUCAGCGAGGAGGAAGGCAUUAAGGUUAAUAACCUUGGUGAUUGACGUUACUCGCAGAAGAAGCACCGGCUAACUCCGUGCCAGCAGCCGCGGUAAUACGGAGGGUGCAAGCGUUAAUCGGAAUUACUGGGCGUAAAGCGCACGCAGGCGGUUGAUUAAGUCAGAUGUGAAAUCCCCGAGCUUAACUUGGGAACUGCAUUUGAAACUGGUCAGCUAGAGUCUUGUAAAGGGGGGUAGAAUUCCCGGUGUAACGGUGAAAUGCGUAAAGAUCCUGGAGGAAUACCCGGUGGCGAAGGCCGGCCCCCCUGGACAAAGACUGACGCUCAGGUGCGAAAGCGUGGGGAGCAAACAGGAUUAGAUACCCUGGUAGUCCACGCUGUAAACGAUGUCGACUUGGAGGUUGUGCCCUUGAGGCGUGGCUUCCGGAGCUAACGCGUUAAGUCGACCGCCUGGGGAGUACGGCCGCAAGGUUAAAACUCAAAUGAAUUGACGGGGGCCCGCACAAGCGGUGGAGCAUGUGGUUUAAUUCGAUGCAACGCGAAGAACCUUACCUACUCUUGACAUCCAGAGAAUUUGCUAGAGAUAGCUUAGUGCCUUCGGGAACUCUGAGACAGGUGCUGCAUGGCUGUCGUCAGCUCGUGUUGUGAAAUGUUGGGUUAAGUCCCGCAACGAGCGCAACCCUUAUCCUUUGUUGCCAGCACGUAAUGGUGGGAACUCAAAGGAGACUGCCGGUGAUAAACCGGAGGAAGGUGGGGAUGACGUCAAGUCAUCAUGGCCCUUACGAGUAGGGCUACACACGUGCUACAAUGGCAUAUACAAAGAGAAGCGAACUCGCGAGAGCAAGCGGACCUCAUAAAGUAUGUCGUAGUCCGGAUUGGAGUCUGCAACUCGACUCCAUGAAGUCGGAAUCGCUAGUAAUCGUAGAUCAGAAUGCUACGGUGAAUACGUUCCCGGGCCUUGUACACACCGCCCGUCACACCAUGGGAGUGGGUUGCAAAAGAAGUAGGUAGCUUAACCUACGGGAGGGCGCUUACCACUUUGUGAUUCAUGACUGGG